rnacentral:rRNA from 1 species
GACGAACGCUGGCGGCGUGCUUAACACAUGCCAGUCGAACGGAAAGGCCCUGCUUUUGUGGGGUGCUCGAGUGGCGAACGGGUGAGUAACACGUGAGUAACCUGCCCUUGACUUCGGGAUAACUUCAGGAAACUGGGGCUAAUACCGGAUAGGAGCUCCUGCUGCAUGGUGGGGGUUGGAAAGUUUCGGCGGUUGGGGAUGGACUCGCGGCUUAUCAGCUUGUUGGUGGGGUAGUGGCUUACCAAGGCUUUGACGGGUAGCCGGCCUGAGAGGGUGACCGGCCACAUUGGGACUGAGAGACGGCCCAGACUCCUACGGGAGGCAGCAGUGGGGAAUAUUGCACAAUGGGCGGAAGCCUGAUGCAGCAACGCCGCGUGCGGGAUGACGGCCUUCGGGUUGUAAACCGCUUUCGCCUGUGACGAAGCGUGAGUGACGGUAAUGGGUAAAGAAGCACCGGCUAACUACGUG